rnacentral:rRNA from 1 species
GACGAACGCUGGCGGCGUGCCUAAUACAUGCAAGUAGAACGCACAGUUUAUACCGUAGCUUGCUACACCAUAGACUGUGAGUUGCGAACGGGUGAGUAACGCGUAGGUAACCUGCCUGGUAGCGGGGGAUAACUAUUGGAAACGAUAGCUAAUACCGCAUAAUAUUAAUUAUUGCAUGAUAAUUAAUUGAAAGGUGCAAUUGCACCACUACCAGAUGGACCUGCGUUGUAUUAGCUAGUAGGUGAGGUAACGGCUCACCUAGGCGACGAUACAUAGCCGACCUGAGGGGGUGAUCGGCCACACUGGGACGGAGGCACGGCCCAGACUCCUACGGGAGGCAGCAGUAGGGAAUCUUCGGCAAUGGACGAAAGUCUGACCGAGCAACGCCGCGUGAGUGAAGAAGGUUUUCGGAUCGUAAAGCUCUGUUGUAAGAGAAGAACGGGUGUGAGAGUGGAAAGUUCACACUGUGACGGUAUCUUACCAGAAAGGGACGGCUAACUACGUG